rnacentral:tRNA from 1 species
CUCCUUAGGUGUUUUUUGCACAAAAAGAUUUGAGCUUUUUAGAGGAACUUUCCAAGGAGAGAAAAUAAUAUUUCUCAUAAUUAA